UAAAUAGAGUGUAAUCUCUCUAUCUAGAGUCAUCUUGGCAGGGAGUCAAGGCAUUCAUUGCCACCUGCUGGCGGUAGAGUAAACGCCUUUAGAAAGUCUGAAGUAUGGAAGGAGCAAAUAAUUUAAUGAGUACCAAAAAGGACUUCUGUAGAACGGAACAAAAUGAUUUAUGCGAUGUAUAAGCCUCAUAAGAAAUUUAUAACUAAAGUGUGAAAUAUUAAAUUAAAAGGCGCAACUGAA